rnacentral:rRNA from 1 species
CCUGAGAAACCCAAAAGAUCGAAUGGGGAGAUUCAUCGUCAGCGAUUUUGGUACGUGUGCGGUCUCGCGAUGCCGGAGACUUCGGUCGCCAGGCACGCGUCCGCAUGUUUUUUAUUGCCUUGAUCGUCGGCGUGCACUUCUCCCCUAGUAGGACGUCGCGACCCGUUGGGUGUCGGUCUACGGCCCGGGGUGGUGCCUGUCUCGUGUUCGCUUCGCGGCGUUACGCGGUUCAGACCCCCGGUUGCCCGACCGGCUGCCCGGCGGUACUCGCACGGUAUCUGGCCGCAAAUAUUCGAACUGCGUCCGGCCCGUCGCAAGCGCGGCAAGUGUUUCCCGGUUGUACGGAUCUAACGCCGUCACCGGGCCUUGCCCGCUGUUGGUUGACGGUGUCCUAGGACUGGCUAAUACAAUUAUGAUACCGGUCGGCGAUGCUACUGCUUUGGGUACUUUCAGGACCCGUCUUGAAACACGGACCAAGGAGUCUAACAUGUGCGCGAGUCAUUGGGAACUAUUAAGCCUAAAGGCGCAAUGAAAGUGAAGGUCGGCCUCGCGCCGACCGAGGGAGGAUGGGCCGCGUCACGAUGCGGUCCCGCACUCCCGGGGCGUCUCGUUCUCAUUGCGAGAAGAGGCGCACCCAGAGC